GACGAACGCUGGCGGCGUGCUUAACACAUGCAAGUCGAGCGAUGAAGCCUCUUCGGAGGUGGAUUAGCGGCGGACGGGUGAGUAACACGUGGGCAACCUGCCUCAAAGUGGGGGAUAGCCUCCCGAAAGGGAGAUUAAUACCGCAUAAUAUUAGUUUUUCACAUGGAAGAUUAAUUAAAGGAGUAAUCCGCUUUGAGAUGGGCCCGCGGCGCAUUAGCUAGUUGGUGAGGUAACGGCUCACCAAGGCCACGAUGCGUAGCCGACCUGAGAGGGUGAUCGGCCACAUUGGAACUGAGACACGGUCCAGACUCCUACGGGAGGCAGCAGUGGGGAAUAUUGCACAAUGGGGGGAACCCUGAUGCAGCAACGCCGCGUGAGUGAUGACGGCCUUCGGGUUGUAAAGCUCUGUCUUCAGGGACGAUAAUGACGGUACCUGAGGAGGAAGCCACGGCUAACUACGUGCCAGCAGCCGCCGCCG
rnacentral:rRNA from 1 species